CACAUGGCCACAUUCCCACUUGCACCAUGGGCCCGCGCCGCUCACAUCUUACACGUGGAGCAUACUUCCGCACUUGAGCCCGUCAAAGUGCAACGCCAAAGCAUUUCCCCACCUUGCACUCACAGUAAAUGGGCCGCCUUCACUUCACGUGGACACUUCACGCAAAUGGGCCACAACAACACUCGCGCACAAGCCCCAGCGUAUGGACUUCUCCAGCACGUGGACCAUGGAACCACCAAGCUCAACUCACAGCAAACGGCCCGUCUUCGCUUCACGCGGACCGCACUCGCACAUGGAC
rnacentral:lncRNA from 1 species